UCCCUGGUGGUCUAGUGGUUAAGAUUCUGAGCUUCCAGUGCAGGGAAUCUGGAUUCAAUUCUUGGUCAGGGAA
rnacentral:tRNA from 1 species